CGGGUGAGUAACACGUGGAUAACCUACCUAUAAGACUGGGAUAACUUCGGGAAACCGGAGCUAAUACCGGAUAAUAUUUUGAACCGCAUGGUUCAAAAGUGAAAGACGGUCUUGCUGUCACUUAUAGAUGGAUCCGCGCUGCAUUAGCUAGUUGGUAAGGUAACGGCUUACCAAGGCAACGAUGCAUAGCCGACCUGAGAGGGUGAUCGGCCANACUGGAACUGAGACACGGUCCAGACUCCUACGGGAGGCAGCAGCG
rnacentral:rRNA from 1 species